GCUAACACAUGCAAGUCGAACGAGAAAUCCCGAGCUUGCUUGGGAGAGUAAAGUGGCGCACGGGUGAGUAACGCGUGGGUACCUACCUUUGAAUCUGGAAUAACCAGCCGAAAGGCUGACUAAUACCGGAUACGGUUUUGAGGACUUAGGUUCUCUAAAUUAAAGGUGACCUCUUCAUGAAAGUUGCCGUUCAUAGAUGGGCCCGCGUACCAUUAGCUAGUUGGUGGGGUAAUGGCCUACCAAGGCGACGAUGGUUAGCUGGUCUGAGAGGAUGAUCAGCCACACUGGAACUGGAACACGGUCCAGACUCCUACGGGAGGCAGCAGUGAGGAAUUUUGCGCAAUGGGGGAAACCCUGACGCAGCAACGCCGCGUGAGCGAAGAAGGCCCUCGGGUCGUAAAGCUCUGUCAAGUGGGAAAAAAAUCUUUUAAUCAAUAGUUAAAAGACUUGAUGGUACCACUGGAGGAAGCACCGGCUAACUCCGUGCCAGCAGCCGCGGUAAUACGGAGGGUGCAAGCGUUGUUCGGAUUUACUGGGCGUAAAGAGCGUGUAGGCGGUUUAGCAAGUCAGAUGUGAAAGCCCUGGGCUUAACCCGGGAAGUGCAUUUGAAACUGCUUCACUAGAGUAUGGGAGAGGAGAUUGGAAUUCCUGGUGUAGAGGUGAAAUUCGUAGAUAUCAGGAGGAACACCCGUGGCGAAGGCGAUUCUCUGGACCAAUACUGACGCUGAGACGCGAAAGCGUGGGGAGCAAACAGGAUUAGAUACCCUGGUAGUCCACGCCGUAAACGAUGAGAACUAGGUGUAGUGGGUAUUGACCCCUGCUGUGCCGAAGUUAACGCAUUAAGUUCUCCGCCUGGGGAGUACGGCCGCAAGGCUAAAACUCAAAUGAAUUGACGG
rnacentral:rRNA from 1 species